GUUUUUGGAGCAGGGGUCCGGUAUGAAUUUUGCCACUUGGCUGAUUGGCUGGUGCCAUUUGGUUUUUGCCUACCGUGUAGCAAAUUGUCACAACUUUGUAAGGUUGGCAGUUAGGCAUUGGUUCAUUCUUUGGUUCAGGGGAUUAUGGAUUGGCUGUGCCAGCCCCUCAUUUUUUGUUGUUGCUACUAGGGAAUUCUGUUAAAGGAAUCCAGGGGCUUGAUUUGCUCUGUCCGAUCCCCUCUCAGGGGUUCCUGGGAGAGUUCCUGGGAGCAUCUGGGGUGAACUAAGAGGUGGAAAUCCGCCUCUGUGGUCCCCCAGUAUGCUUUCCCUUACUGACCUCUGGAGGUUCCAGUUGUCAGUCCUGUUCCUGCUGGUGCAGGUUCAGGUAGUCCGAACCAAUGCCUAAGCAACCAUUCACCUGCUGUAAUCAAUAAAGUUGUGGCCAAAUUAACGCCAAAAAUCUUAAACAAAUAUUCUGUGUCCUGUGUGAUUUAUUUUGGAGAGGGUCUGGGGGUCUUCACACGCAACAGUCUGAUUCUGCAAAUGGCAGCUUCAUGCGAUGCAUGGUGUUUCCCAGCUCCUCCAUGCUUUUCAUGCAUAAUUAUCAGUUCAACAGUUAAUUGUAAAAUCAAAAUCAUUAAAUUGCUGCUUGCUGCUUCUCUGUUUCUCACAAGGAAACAUUUCUUUGCAGGCAAUCCUGUCUUAAAUUAUGAGAAUUGUGGGCACAGUUCAACCCAAGCAGCUGCCUCCACAACGAUUCAGCUCUCCCCCUGAGCCCUCCACUGGCUGCCACCCCCCCCAAAGAUCUUUUACCAUGGGGUCCAGCCAAGACUGGAGGAUCCCAGCAGGUCACAAUAAUCCUCUCCCCACCCCCCCUUUGCAGGGAGUGAUGGGACUGGUUUACAAGCGACCCACCACCUGCUACAAAAAACAAGGAACAUUAUUUAUUGCUUUUAAUUUAACCCAUCCUUUCCCACCAGGAAAAGAAUAAUACGGUCGAAAAGGCAAAAGCUCACCCCAUCCACAGUGAACCCUCUUGCCCCAAGUGCCCCUAUGGAGUGUGCAUGUUUGACCCACAAAAGCAGUUUUGCCACAUGCAAUCCUUCAAAGCAGACACUAUUGCAAGCUAAUGGAUGGUUUCUGAUUAUCCAGAAGUAGAAUCCACAAAUGACAAGGUAAUUGGUGCAGAAAAGUCCCAACCUCUCUAAAUGUGCAAGCUGUGGUUGGUUUAACUGAUAGAUAAAUCAAUGAAAAUCAUGCUUCUAAAUAGGUUUUUAGGUCACAUCCACACCAUACAUUUAAAACACAUUUAUGUAUACCACUUUAAUAGUCAUGGCUUCCUGGGAAUUAUUGUUUACCCACCACAAAGCUAUAAUUUCUAGCAUCCAUAAAAAUUAGUUCCCAGAAAAGGGGAAGCCAUGUGCUUUAAACUUAUGGUGUGGAAGUUACGCUGGUAAGUCACAGUAAGUUCAGUUGAGAGUAGGAUUGCAGGAUAGGGUUUCAGUAAGAGCAAUUUUAUAUUUCGCAAGGGUAAAUGUAUGGGGACAAAUUUAUUUGGGGUGCAUAAUCUUCAGGUACAAGAGGCCACCGCCAUGUGAAAGCAAAGUAGGUCUGGAUCUGUUCAGGGCUUGGAUGGUUGUCUGCUCUUUGAUCUUUGGAUGAAGGGCAGUACAUAAAUUUAAUUAGUAGUAGUAGUAGUAGUAGUAGUAGUAGUAUGCUACUCCAGGUUCCAUGAAAACAGCAGAGCAGAAUAAGUAGAACAACCCAGGCAGGAAAACAAAUAAAAUUUGAAUCCUAUAGGGAAUAUUAUAGGAAAUAGAAAGCUUUGAUUUCUUCUAAUAAUGCUAGAUCCUGCUUUUCGUCACUUGUAAUUUACGGUACCUGUUUCAAUUGUUCAAAGAGUUAUCUGCAAAUAUAUGUGAAUUAUAAUGUAAACAGAUAAGAAAAUUAUAAUUGAUUAGACCAGGGUUUUCCAGCUGGGGGCCAUGUGGCCCCCUGGGGCCCCCAGUAUAUUCCAAGAGGGCCACAGGUAAAAAUGCAUAAAUGGGGAGGGGGCACUGUUUCUGUAGGUUUCCUCCCCCAUGUCAAAUAACUGGGGUCAAAUAAGUGUUGUUUACUUUUUAUAAUGCAUGGAAGAUGGAUCUCCCUCGGGAGGUUCUGGACUCUCCUUCCUCGGAGGUUUCUAAGCAGAGCUUGGAUGGUCGUCUGUCCUGGAUGCUUUAGGUGAGUUUCCUGCGUUGCAGGGGGUUGCACCUGAAAGAUGACCUUCAGCGUCUUCCAGCUCUAUAAUUGCAUGAUUCUAUGUUUUUCUGCUUCAACAAUAUUUCAUUAUGUUCCUAUCAUUUUAUGUAAUUGCAUUUUGUAUAAAUUAUAAAUAAAACAUGCUCUAUUUACAAACAAAACAUUUAAAUAGCUACUUUUCUACCAGUAGGAUGGGGGGGCAUGGGCAUAGCCAGGAUCUUUGUUAGGGGGACAGGCUUUUGUUGGGGGGGGGGGAGAACCUCUGAUUUGUAUUGAUUUUUACUUAUUGUGGGGUCAGCUGCCCCUCUGCCCCACUGGCUAUGCCGGGGGGGACGACCACAUGAAGGAAACAAGGUCAGAAGGGGGCCACGGUUGGAAAAAGGUUGGGAAACACUGGAUUAGACAAUUAGAAGGAACAGAGUCAACUGCCAUUCUUUAUUUAUUUGAGUUGCGUAUCAAGGUCCCCAAGCCACCCCAAUAAACCACAAUUCACACAGAAUUUUUGUUAAGGUUUUUGGCAUAAUUUUGGCCACAACUUUAUUAAAAUACAAGAAAUGUGAGUGGUUGCUUAGGCAUUGGUUGCAACUAUCUGACCCCGCACGGGGACAGACUGACAUUUGCACACCUGCAAAAGUCAGAAAGGGAAAACAUUUUGGGGAGAAAGAUGGAGCUGGGUACCAUGCCCUCACCUCUCCCCAAAUGCUCCCAGGGGCUCUUGCGUGGCUCUAGCCCCUUGACAGGGGUUCGGACAAAAGCAUGGGGAGCCCCUGGGUUCCUUUAACGGAAAGCCCUUGCAGCAGCAGCAGUAUUUUGGAGGGGCAGGCACAGUCAAUCCAUGCCGCUCCACCAACCAAUUUUAACCAAUGCCUAACUGCAACCUUACAAGUUGUGAAGAUUUGCUACGCAGUAGGCAAAAGCCAAAUGGCACCAGCCAACCAGCCAAAUGGACAAAAUUCCUACCGGGCCCCUGCCCCAAGAUCAGACGACCCCAUGACAGGCAUAGCAAGGUCAUGUGAACAACCCUAAAUAUAGGGAGGGUGGGCGGAUGAUCCGAUGUGCACAGCGAAAAGAGGAAGCUCAACACUGUGUGCAGAGAAUAUAAGACUUCUUAGCUGUCAAUCACAAAAUGGCAACAUCAAAUUCUCCCCAAUGAGAAGAGGGGCCCAAUCGCAAUGGUGGCCAACUACCUUUACCCGCCCAGCAACAGUGGGAUGUCUUGCUAGACCCCACCGCAACACGUGCUCUCCAUGAAGGAGAACACGCUUUGUGCUAAAAAAUCUGAGGUGAGGGAAAGAAAGAGCAUAGCUCAAACAGAAACUUCCUGGUGCUAUCCUGAGUGUCUACAGGUGGGGCUAAGAAAUACCAUUGUCUGAAACCUAAGAAUGCUUUCACCAGUCAGGGUGGCCAGAAUAGAAAUUUAGAACUGAUUAGGAGAACAAAAUGACAGUUUUUCUAGCUUUUUAAUUUCAGUGAGUGUAAAAUAAAAAGGAAAGGUAUGAUUAAUAUGACCCUGACAAAUAUUAUUAGGCCCCAAAUUACCUUUCUGCUUUUUACAUCUCUAGUGACACACUACUAGCCCUGUAUAGGGAGGUUUUUAACAGUUGGGUGUUUUUAGAUAUACUGUAAGCCAGCCAGAGUGGCUGGGGAAACCCAGCAAGAUAGGUGGGGUAUAAAUAAAAUUAUUAAUUCUAAAUUAGGAUAUAUGUAGAAUUACCUUUAAAGAAAUGUAUGGACAUCCAUUUUUGUAAUAGUGCAAAUCAAGUGUCAAUACAUUUUGGUUACAUGCAGGACAUUUUCGGAUUUGAGCUGUUUUAAACCAAACGGCAUAAAGUGUUCUUAACCAAAUGUUUUCUGUACAUAUAUGGCACUGUCAGAGAAUUGCCCUCCUGAAAGCAUCCCAAGUACUUUAAAAAAGAUUGUUUGUGAACAUUUUCAGUCACAGCAUUUCACCUCUGGAGCCCAACGACGUUUGGAGAGCUUUAGGUUGCCCCUGAGAUACAUGUUGAAGUCACUGAGGGAUGAAGAAAAAGGAGAGCCCAUGAAAAGAUGCACUUUAAAGAGUUUCUUAAGGACCAAUACUUUUAAAGUUGAAUUGUCUUAUUGGGGGAAAUCAUAAGUAUUCAACUUGACAUAGCUGUAGAAACUCAGUAACAAAUGCACUCGUGUGACAGUUUAACAUGUUUAAAACAAUUAAAUAAAAAAGAAAGGCCAUGACAAAAAAAUGGGACUAACUAAAGACCAGCAAAUACAGCAUGUAAAAAUAAUAAUUGUUAAUCUCUUUAAGAACAGCAACUGAUGAUGUGACGUAAAAGGUAUCAGUGCAGUUUAUGGGUUAAUCAAGAGGGUUUAGCCAGCCCACACAAAAAAAUGUAACUAAAUAUGUAAAUGUUCACAAAAAACAUGUAAUCACUUGAAACAGGAUGUUCAUUGAAACACAGCUUAUGAACAAUGAAAACUUCCUCCCUUAUAAUCCUAAAUAUUUAUGCUUAUACUUUAUGUUUUAUAUGUUUCUGGCUUUACCAGAAUCGGUUUCAUCAGUAUUAUGUUGACAUUUCCACCAGCAGAAACCCAUCAGGACACCUGGACUUGCUUUGGAACCUGAGCUGCUUGGUGCGGAUAAAACAGGCUGGGAAGGACAAUGUGGCAAGCUGAAAAGAAGGAACAACUGAUAAGUACACUCUUCCGGUGCCCCACUUCUCUGCUUCAACUUGCACUCUCUUGCAUCACUUGCAAUAAAAAAGAUGUGUGGGCUAAGAUAAAUGAGCUUAAUUGUCUAACCUGAUAUUUUGUGUGUCCCUGCCGUUUGGAAGGGAAGAGGCACUGGUCUGCAAAUGUGCUGAAAUAUAAAUGGAUUAAUGGAAGUGGCCAAAGGCUCAGCUGCUCUGUAAAACAAUACAGGAGGAAGGGGGCCCUUUACUGGUCCUUGGCAGUACAUCCUCCCCAUCUAGAUUUAGGCUUGAAAGACCAAUUAAACGUGUGUGUGCAAGGGAAGGUUGGUUGCAAGCAUUGCACCAUUUGUGACAGUGCACAAUUUCUUGCUGAUCGCAAUCACUUAAGGUAUCGGUGCUAGCUUCCCAUUUCUGAGAUUUGUGGAUCUUUAACUGGCUGUUCUUUUUUAAAAAAAACAAUUAAAUCUUAUACUGUGUAUGCUGUAGUCAGAGAUGUUUCUACAACUUGGCAUAGUGUACUACUCUGACACUGUUGAUAUGAGCUGGCAAUCAGCUAAUGGGCACAUGGGAAAUCAUAUCUGAUUUAUAAAAGGAAGGCCUCUAUGCAAUAAUUGAUGUGACAUGACACCAUCACCAAAGUUAUUCUUGGGAAAUAGUAACAGUUGAUUCUGAAUACUUUGACACUUCACAGACACCUGUCAACUUUCUGUCUGAUGAGGGGCCUGUUUACUUGUCCUGAAUUGUUAUGAGAACAUGCAGUAUCUAGUCAAGCUGUAUCCCAAUGCUUUCGUUUUUGGGUUAAGAUGCCCAUUUGCUGUUGGCAAAAGUUCUGCAUGGGAUUAUAAAGGCCUAAAUGAAUAGAGAAUAUCUACAGCUAUUAGACAGAGUGUGCCCAGGGCAUCUAUCCUAAUAGUUGUAGUGUGCCCAAUGAAGCUUUGAGCUGGACUGAGGAAUCAAAGUAAGCUAUACUGAAAUCAAAAUAUGAGGUCACCAGCUGCCCACCAGCAGAAGAUAAAUACAUCUUUUUGCACUGCCAAAUGCUGAAACAUCAUGGAAUCAG